CUGAAACUGAGCGACAAUCUAUAAGUUCACCUGCUACACAACCGAGUGGAUCAGGUGAUGAUAGGAAUUCAACAAAUGAAAGAAUGGAAGGUGAUGGUAGUAAUGAGCAGAUGGGGCCACAACAAAGUGGAGGUUCGAUACGAAAAGGGCGUGGAAGAGCAAAAAAUGAAGCCUUGCACAAAAUUAAGGAAAACAACUGUCCAGUUCCAGUAGAGUUUGGAGAUGGUUAUAUUAAACCUGUUGGUUUAAAUAACAAAUUAUGGACGGCUAAGGUUGGCAUUAAUACACGAGAUACAGAACCCUUUUAAAGUAUAAAAUGUGGAGGGGUGUUCCAGAUUUUGAGAAAGAGGUCUACUAUGACCAUUUGACGGUAAUGAUGACAAUCAUUUAAUGUUUGUUUUGUUAAAAAUAAAUCAGAGGUUACUAGUCCAAUUGGUUAUAAAUUAUAGCUUACAUUAAUUUUACAUUAUAAAGAAGAUCUUUGGAGUGGAUGCAUAUGCGAAUGACACUAAUUUUAAGCGAGUAAAUAAGGGAAUUUCCAGCGCAUUGAGGAAAUAUAGAUAUAAAUUGAAGUGUCAUUUUGAGGAGCAUCUUCUGAUUGAGAAUGCACGCUACCAUCCUUACAAUGGCAUUGGUCAAGCUGUUUGGCAAAAGUUGUGUGAUACGUGGAUGUCACCAGAAUUUCAGGUCAAACUCAAAGAAAGGCAGAGCCAAGAAGAUGAGGACGGUGAAAGGGAUGAGGAUCCUGCUAUUCACUUGUACAAGGACACACAUUUUAAGGAACAAGGUGGAUGAACACACGAGAAAGCUAAGAGGAAUUUUAUAAGUUAACUAUAAACUAGCAUGUUGGAUUAUGAAAUUUGGAUCUCAUAAUAUUUUUGCGGUUUAUAGGGGGUCACAUGCCUUUAAGUGACUAUUUUUGCGGUUUAUAGGGGGUCACAUGUCUUUAAGUGACCAUUCUUGAUUUUUUGUGCACAAAUGGAGGUGGGAAAUUGUUGCAGAUGAAAUGUAGUUUUCAUUCAUU